GGGGUUGUGGCUCAGUGAUAGAGUGCUUGCCUCACACGCAUGAGGCACUGAGUUUGAUCCUCAGCACCACA
rnacentral:tRNA from 1 species